UACGGGGGGAGCAAGCGUUGUUCGGAUUUACUGGGCGUAAAGGGCGCGUAGGCGGUCAGCACAAGUCAGUUGUGAAAUCUCCGGGCUUAACUCGGAAAGGUCAACUGAUACUGUGCGACUAGAGUGCAGAAGGGGCAACUGGAAUUCUCGGUGUAGCGGUGAAAUGCGCAGAUAUCAGGAGGAACACCGGUGGCGAAGGCGGGUCUCUGGGCAGUAACUGACGCUGAGGAGCGAAAGCGUGGGGAGCGAACAGG
rnacentral:rRNA from 1 species